rnacentral:piRNA from 1 species
CUUUGUAGUGUUUCAGUCUGCUCAGAA